rnacentral:rRNA from 1 species
AUGAAUGUCACACUCAUGCUGCGUUGGGUUUGGCGGAUCCUAUGAGGCGAUGGCGGUCUGUGGCUACAACCGAUUCAGGGAAAAUACCUUCGGGGUGAUGCCCUCCUGGCUUGCUCUCGGCUCGCCGGGUCCCAAUUCUGGAAGUCUAUCCAGAAGAUUAAGGAAGAAAUUCGUCUCGGCGCCACCUUUUUAGUUGGCAAUGGGAAGGCCACCCAGUUUUGGCUCGACCCAUGGCUGGAUGGGGAGCCUCUGCGCUUGAGUUUCCCUAGGCUAUUUGCUAUCUGCGCUGACCCGACUAUUCUGGUCUCCGGGGCAUGUCUGGAUGGACAAUGGAACAUCGGGUUCCGACGGUCAUUUGGGCAGGACGAGAUUCUAGAAUGGGACAGGUUGAGGGCAGAAGUCUCGCUGGUGUUGUCACAGUUGCCUGGCACCAUAUCUUGGAGCCUUUCCCCCCUGGAGAGUUCUCCAAUAGUUCAGCCUACCAGGCAUUAUGCCGUGCACCGAUCAUACAGUGAUUAUCCCCAUUGUGGAAGGCGCAUGUGCCCUUAA